ensembl:lncRNA
AGCACUGUGAUUGACAUCUCCAGAGCAGGGGCCACUUCAUGGACCACAGCCCUGACAUGGCCAGGGGGCUUGCAUAACUCAGUGAAGCCAUGAGCCGUGCUGGGCAGCGCCACCCAAGACCGAUGGGUCAGAGUGAAGAGUUCUGACAAAACGUGGCCCACAGGAGGAAGGAAUGGCAAACUGCUCCAGUAUUCUUGCCAGGAGAACCCCGUGAACGGUGUGAAGAGGUACAAAGAUGCGACACUGGAGGAUGAGCCCCCCGGAAGGCGGAUUCUUUCCCAGCUGAGCUACCUUCAUAUGUUCCUUUAACUGUGGAGGACACUGAUGCCCGCUGUGCUGGAUACUGCCGACUGCCCCUCCAGACCCUCUCUUCACCCUUUUCCGCUCUGUGCUGUGUCCUGGGAGGCUGCCCUGGAUGUACUGUAUGACUGGGUUCCCUUUUUCUCAAGUCUCUGGUUUGAUUAGGCCGAAGGAAAGCACCCACAGAUCCAAGGGCAGGAGGAAAUCAAAGUAAAGCUGUCCCAAACCCGGCAGUGGCCUGUGGUCGUGGAGGAUGCAGGGCCAGACUCAAGACU